AUCCAUGGCCAUACCACCCUGAACACGCCCGAUCUCAUCUGAUCUCGGAAGCUAAGCAGGGUCCGGCCAGGUUAGUACUUGGAUGGGAGGAUCCCAGGUUAAUGAAGGCAUGGAAGAAUGUAUA
ensembl:rRNA 5S_rRNA 5S ribosomal RNA